ACAAUUUAUUUUUUAAUUUAUUCAAAAAAGAAGGCACUUUGCUAAACUCGCAUCACUCGUAAAUUUAAAACAAAAAAUAAAACUCGAUUCGAGAAUCAUUACAAUUAAUACACAGAAAACAAUCCGUUUCGAAUCUCAAAGAUAACAGAUGG